GACGAACGCUGGCGGCGUGCUUAACACAUGCAAGUCGAACGGAAAGGCCCUGCUUUUGUGGGGUGCUCGAGUGGCGAACGGGUGAGUAACACGUGAGUAACCUGCCCUUGACUUUGGGAUAACUUCAGGAAACUGGGGCUAAUACCGGAUAGGAGCUCCUGCUGCAUGGUGGGGGUUGGAACGUUUCGGCGGUUGGGGAUGGACUCGCGGCUUAUCAGCUUGUUGGUGGGGUAGUGGCUUACCAAGGCUUUGACGGGUAGCCGGCCUGAGAGGGAGACCGGCCACAUUGGGACUGAGAUACGGCCCAGACUCCUACGGGAGGCAGCAGUGGGGAAUAUUGCACAAUGGGCGGAAGCCUGAUGCAGCAACGCCGCGUGCGGGAUGACGGCCUUCGGGUUGUAAACCGCUUUCGCCUGUGACGAAGCGUGAGUGACGGUAAUGGGUAAAGAAGCACCGGCUAACUACGUG
rnacentral:rRNA from 1 species